AUUAUGACCAGUCUUGGAACUAGGAUUGGGGUGGGGUUCAUCCCACCCAGACCACAGAGACUGAAAAUAAGAAAGGGGUGAGGCCUAAGGGACAAUCAGGAUGUUUUUCAGAGAGAAGUGUGGAUGCUGGACAGGAAGAACCACAGAUACCAGAUACGGAAAAGGAAGAAUCAACACUUUCAGAGAUGGAGCCUGUUGAGCCACAGUACCAACUAGUCAAUGCUGAAUCGACUUCUCCCUUUCUACAUUGCCUGAGAGAAGUCAUUGGGGAAUACUCUGUACACGAAUUUUCACUGUUGGGGAAAACAGGUAUUGGAAGUGAUGGGUAGACCUCAGUUUGUAUGCAUUGUGUUAAUUACUAUUUCUUUGCUUUUCCUUUUUUUGUGCGGUUGCAGAGAGUCAAGGGAUUGGAUUGUGGAUUGCAUUGGUGGUUUUCCUCAGUUUCCUCAUCUUCUCCACAAGUUUCUACAUAUCGAAUGCAGAGCAGCCCUUCUUCAAAGGACCUCCUACGGAAGCUGCUAAGGAACUCAGUCUGUAGCUCUGCGUGGAGCCAUGUGUAAACACUGAACUGAGACCUGCCACCUCCUACUACCUAAGGGCCCAUUUUCAUCUGAUAUCAUCCCCCAGAAACAAACUCAUGAUGACUUCCAUGUUUUUUUUAGAUUAGAUACAUGGAGAAUUUUCCUUUCCCUUAGAAUUAAAAUCCUGCAUUCUAAUUUUCAGUAAGCUUUUUUAUUUCUGAAUAAUUUUAAAUUUAAAGAGAAGUUGCAAAGAUAGUAUAGAAUGUUCCCUUAUACCUGUUUUUAUUUAGAGUGAUGUUCCCAGGAGAAAUGAUAAUGCAGCAAUGGACAAGAACAGGAACAAGAGACAGUCUUACCAUCUUCUUACAAUUUAUAGAUGGGACAGUGGAAAGAGAAGCCACAUCGGGGUUGGGCAUGCAGAGACCUGGUCCUAAAUCUGUGUGACUUUUGCGAAAUCCUUUUGCCUCACAGAGCUCUAGGUUCUUAUCUGUCAAACAGGAACCAGACCAUCAGAUCCGUAGAGAUCCAACCAAUGAAGGAGACUUCGAAAACUUCACAUUGCCGUGUCAAUGUGAGGUUGCUGGAUGGUUAUGACAAGAAAUCACAUUAAAUUCACUGGGGUAACAUUGUUCAUGAAACGGGAUAAUGUGUUUCAGCGAUGAACCACCCAUGGCCUUACUACAGACAUAUUUCCACUUUGAAAAUGUGUGUGAGUGUACAUGUCUGUGUGUGAGGCAGAGAUUAGAAAGUGUAAAUGUGUGCGUUUUCAUUUUACACAUCUUACAUUUUCCUUUAAUUUGUUUGAAAGCCUGUUUUGUUUGUGGCUUCCAUUCCUGGAAGUCCCAUGAGUUGUUAGUGGUGAAGAUGGAACAGAUGUGUCCAACCCGGGGGACUCCUGCCCUCAGGGACUGAGCAGCUGCAAACCUCUCUCUCAUCUGAUUCCACUGUUUCUUCCACAUGUACACAUCAUGAGAAAUAUUGUUCAAUCAAUAUCUUCCCUUAAAUCAACUCAUAUGCUUAUUUACAUGAAUUUACCUAAAACAGAAACUUGAUAUCACUUCUGUAAAUGAAAAAAUUAAACUUUCUGGCUUUAAAUAAAGCAUAACAAUAAUAAUCAUGUCAAAA
ensembl:lncRNA LINC00943 long intergenic non-protein coding RNA 943